GUCCACGCCCUAAACGAUGUCAACUGGUUGUUGGACGGCUUGCUGUUCAGUAACGAAGCUAACGCGUGAAGUUGACCGCCUGGGGAGUACGGCCGCAAGGUUGAAACUCAAAAGGAAUUGACGGGGACCCGCACAAGCGGUGGAUGAUGUGGUUUAAUUCGAUGCAACGCGAAAAACCUUACCUACCCUUGACAUGCCAGGAAUCCUGCAGAGAUGUGGGAGUGCUCGAAAGAGAGCCUGGGCACAGGUGCUGCAUGGCCGUCGU
rnacentral:rRNA from 1 species